rnacentral:lncRNA from 1 species
AAUUGUACAUGGCGAUCAUCAGCAGUAUGAAGAGGAGCUGUGGGGCCAGUGAGAGAAGCUGCAGCCUGUUGAGACUCCACAAGACUGAAGAUAUGAAAAGAGGAAAUAUGCAUGAAUGCCCGCACGGAGAACCACCCCCACCUGCUGCUCCCGCUCUAAUGAUCACGCCCAUUAUCAACUGGGGGAUGGCUCUGUGCCUUGUCCUUGCAUUACAUGGACCAAGAACACUUCACAGGACUCAGAGAGGCAAAAAUAGAUACAAAAGAAGAAGGAAUUACAGAAGAAGUCACAUAACAUUAUUGCCUACAACUGACUGUUUACCUUGAAUACUUGAAGACCAGAAUGAAGAUUCUUGGGGUGAAGAAUUACAGCCUUAGCAUGGAGCAGGCCUCGGUGCAUCGGCUUUCAGCUAGGCAUGCCUGCCAAUGUUCAACGUCCUCCUGGGAUACGGAAGGCACCGUGAUAGACAUCUGGGCAAGUCAACAGGAAGGUGGAUAUCCAAAUCUCUCUCUUCGCAAUGAGUUUCCAGUUAGAUGGAGGAGAGAGUAAUAAAACACAGAGCUGAGAUUCCUGACUUCACAGAUCCCUGAGGAGAUGUUUACUAAAGGGAAUCUUCUGGUCACUGUUACCUUCCUCCGUACUUACCUGCCUCAUGGAUAACACUGAAGAAUGCAGUUUACUUACAUCUUUUUCUGUUUGACAGAAGACAGUUAUUAGUUACCCUUGGGACAUCAAAAUGACCAAGGCAGUGUCUGCUAAGUAUUUGCUGAGACUCUGCUAUGAUUCUUUCAAGUCUAAAGACAGUUAUCUGAAUGAUAUCCCCGUGACAGUGGACUCCUGCACAUUCACAGUCCUGGAAGGAGCCUGUCCACAUUGGCAUUCUGGAAGUCCAUAAAAGACAAACGCAUAUGCAGUCCCCGAGAAAGCAUUGUUGUAAACAAAUCUGCACUAGAUGGAAACUCUGUUAUGUGGUGCCGGCAUGCAUGGAAGAGAACCCGAAAGGAAGAAGCUAUACGACUGGGGACACAUGUCUUAGAAGCACACUCAUUAGAUAAAGUGUCGCAUACUCUUUGAUAAGUGACUCAGAACACCCGUGUCCUUCCCAACAUUGGAUGCAAUGCUAAAGACAUGAUGUUGCUCCUGCUGGACCACACCUUGAAGGAAUUGCCUACCCCACCUCACCUCCAAAAUUAAAGUCUUUCGUUUUGACAAAAGUUAAUGAUAAGGUUUGAUGUGCUAAUUUCAGCACCUCCACUUCAUGUCUACACUGUGGACAUAUACUUUUUUGUUGUUUUGGGGUUUUU